UCUACACAGUGAGACAAUAAACAGUAUUUUUUACAGCAGCAGAAAUAAUGGCACCCCAAGCAAAUAAAUUCUGGUCUAAAACUGUCAUUCUAGAUAUGUUUUAGCUCUAAGACGAUGUGUACCACCAAGCACAAGCAACUGGUAUAGAGGGUUUCACGGAACCUUGAGUAUCCGUGCAGUCUACUGGAACAAUAGGCAGCCUUACCUUUUUGUGCCCUGACUUUUGCCAGACCAGCUCUUAUAACACAUUUGGUUUUUAGAUCUGCAGACAAGAAGGGAAGGAAAUGAUUACUCAGAUUCGCUAAAAAGGACAGGAACGUUUGUCCAGAACUGUCUCAGACUUCAAGAAGUACUUAGUGGAAAGUGCUCUUCAUAUACCAGACUUUUUAUAUACCCAUAUAUGUGCAACUUGAACAUAGUUUUAAGAAUUCUGCAAGCAAUACAUAUUGAUUCUAAUUAGCCUGAAUUUCUGAGAAACCUUUGAAGUGUCUUCUGGAAUGCAGCUCUUCAUAUUAUAGCCGUAAAGAUGGCAUAAAGAUUGACUCUUCCCACAAACGUCUAAGAA
rnacentral:lncRNA from 1 species